UACGGGGGGGGCAAGCGUUGUUCGGAAUUACUGGGCGUAAAGGGCUCGUAGGCGGCCAACUAAGUCAGACGUGAAAUCCCUCGGCUUAACCGGGGAACUGCGUCUGAUACUGGAUGGCUUGAGAUUGGGAGAGGGAUGCGGAAUUCCAGGUGUAGCGGUGAAAUGCGUAGAUAUCUGGAGGAACACCGAUGGCGAAGGCAGCCCCCUGGGUCAAGAUUGACGCUCAUGCACGAAAGCGUGGGGAGCAAACAGG
rnacentral:rRNA from 1 species